GUGGACGUCGGGCCAAGUAUCCGGUUAAUUGUGUGGUUAUUUGCCCACAGCUGGGAUAAGUCUCAGGCUGGCUCUUCGGGGAGGAGAAGCCCCGCCCCCCGACUGCCCGACACAUUGUCCCCGCCCCUUCUCGCUGUCGGCGCUGACCGCUGUGACGUCAGUCGCAACCCUCCUGAGUAUUGCUCUCUCCGUCUGAGCUCAGUGACAGCACGGCCUAGCAGUAUCUUGCCAACUCCACCAUGGAGUUUGGCUGUUCGACAGAAAUGACAACAAACCCUCCAGCACCAG